rnacentral:rRNA from 1 species
GAUGAACGCUGGCGGCGUGCCUAAUACAUGCAAGUCGAGCGAACAGACGAUGAGCUUGCUCCUUCGACGUUAGCGGCGGACGGGUGAGUAACACGUAGGUAACCUACCUAUUAUACUGGGAUAACUUCGGGAAACCGGAGCUAAUACCGGAUAAUAUUUCGAACCGCAUGGUUCGAUAGUGAAAGAUGGCUUUGCUAUCACUUAUAGAUGGACCUGCGUCGUAUUAGCUAGCUGGUAAGGUAACGGCUUACCAAGGCAACGAUACGUAGCCGACCUGAGAGGGUGAUCGGCCACACUGGAACUGAGACACGGUCCAGACUCCUACGGGAGGCAGCAGUAGGGAAUAUUCCGCAAUGGGCGAAAGCCUGACGGAGCAACGCCGCGUGAGUGAUGAAGGUCUUCGGAUCGUAAAACUCUGUUAUUAGGGAAGAACAAACGUGUAAGUAACUGUGCACGUCUUGACGGUACCUAAUCAGAAAGCCACGGCUAACUACGUG